rnacentral:rRNA from 1 species
AGCGAACGCUGGCGGCAGGCCUAACACAUGCAAGUCGAACGAACCUUUCGGGGAUAGUGGCGGGCGGAUGCGUAACACGUAGUAACGUGCCAUUAGGUACGGAAUCACUCAGGGAAACUCUUACUCAUACCGAAUGUGCCCUGAGGGGGAAAGAAUUAUCGCCUUAAGAGCUGCACGCGCCUGCUUGGAUAGUUGGGUGAGGUACUGGCUCAACAAGACUAGGGUCUGGUUCUCGAGUUGGAGGAUGAUCAGCCACAAUGGGAAUGAGACACGGCCCAAGCUCCCAAGGGAGGCAGGAAGGGGGAAUCUUGCGAAAUGGGCGAAAGCCUGACGCAACCAUGCCGCGGGAAUGAAGAAGGUCUUAGGAUUGUAAAAUUCUUUCACCGAGGACGAAAAUGACGGUACCCGGAGAAGAAGCCCCGGCUAACUACGUG